GAUGAACGCUAGCGGCAGGCUUAAUACAUGCAAGUCGUGGGGCAGCAUGAGUAGCAAUACUUGAUGGCGACCGGCAAACGGGUGAGGAACACGUACACAACCUUCCUUCAAGCGGGGAAUAGCCCAGAGAAAUUUGGAUUAAAUACCCCCAUAAUAUAUUUGAUAAGGCAUCUUAUUAAUAUUAAAGCUUCGGCACUUGAUGAUGGGUGUGCGGCUGAUUAGAUAGUUGGCGGGUAACGGCCCACCAAGUCUACGAUCAGUAGCUGAUGUGAGAGCAUGAUCAGCCACACGGGCACUGAGACACGGGCCCGACUCCUACGGGAGGCAGCAGUAAGGAAUAUUGGACAAUGGACGAAAGUCUGAUCCAGCCAUGCCGCGUGAAGGAUUAAGGUCCUCUGGAUUGUAAACUCUUUUAUAUGGGACGAAAAAGGCAAUUCUUGUUACACUUGACGGUACCAUAUGAAUAAGCACCGGCUAACUACCGUGCCAG
rnacentral:rRNA from 1 species